rnacentral:rRNA from 1 species
UAAUGACGGUACCGUAAGAAUAAGCACCGCUAAUACGUGCCAGCAGCCGCGUAAUACGUAGGGUGCGAGCGUUAAUCGGAAUUACUGGGCGUAAAGCGUGCGCAGGCGGUNUUGUAAGACAGGCGUGAAAUCCCCGGGCUCAACCUGGGAAUUGCGCUUGUGACUGCAAGGCUGGAGUGCGGCAGAGGGGGAUGGAAUUCCGCGUGUAGCAGUGAAAUGCGUAGAUAUGCGGAGGAACACCGAUGGCGAAGG